UAAGAUUAAGACAGGAUGCAAAAUAGGGAACAGAUGCCAGAGGAAUAGAAGGCUGCAAAAGAAGGAUACAGAGCUGUCCACCUGAGGAUGGUGUGGACCAUAUCCAUCUUCACUAAGAGCAUAUUGGAAAAUAACUUUAUUUUUUUUCCUUAGUGAACCAGGUGCAGAACCUCACUGACCCUUGUCAGAUUUGACCACAGACUUCACUGGGCAGAAAUGGCAUCAUGCUCACUCCAAGCAGGAACUUAUUUAAGAGGGAUUGAACUGGAGACCUUGCACUUCCAAGGAAGGCAGCCGAACCACUGAGCUAAAUCCCCAGCCCACUGGGUAAAUGUUUUGAGUCCAUUCAUGACAGCAUAACUGAAAAUGCUCAUAAAAAGGUAUUCCAGACAGAGCCUCACAGUCAGUGAAGAAGAGAAGAUGCAGAGGCCAUUUUCAGAGGAAUCUGCUGCAACAUGACUCCCUCACUUCAAAGAGAUGCUCUUGGCUCAAAGCGUUUCUACCUAAGGCCCUGCUUCUUUCUCAAAAAUCAAGAACCAGAGUACGAGCCUGCCACCUUGUGGCAAAGAGGAGAAUAGACUGAGACACUGUGAG
ensembl:lncRNA